rnacentral:sRNA from 1 species
AGAAUAAAAUAGUGUGUUUGUGUGGAUCUGUCUGUCUGUCUCUUGCUCUAGCUCUCACUCUGCACAUUGUCUGGCUGUGCAUCUCUGUGCUAAUUCCCAUUUAGUUCAAGAAGAACCUUCUAUGCUAUGGGUCAACUGAGGCACAGUUUGUCAUUCCGAGUCAGUGAACUAUACUUCCGAAUGUCUGUGUUAAGAUUCUCUUUACCCACAUGUGUUAGUGGAGUUAUCUGGCAAGAUUGACAAAUUGGAAGCAAGGCAUGGAUGGCCAUGGCGCUACUGAUCCCGGGAAGUUCCAAUGGAUUGUAUAGAGCUUAUAAUAGUUUGGACACGACUUCAGGCUGACUCACUUCAUUCCUCACACAGGGGGUGUCAGCACACUCCUAUUCCUGUCCUUCCCAGUGAGUUGUGACAAGUAUGUACUGGGAACCUCACAAACCAAUUACACGUACAUGAAACGCUAAAGGUGAGCCAGCCAUUAGCCCUCCAUUACACCAACCACAAUUAGACUGACUAAAAGAUUGGACCCUGGAGGUUGUAGAAAACACCAAAUAGAUCUCUCCACCUUUAUGUGUAAGUGGCUUCCUAGCCUGACUUUUGGGAAUGUUUUUCACAGGCCAGUCAGGUUGUCGCAUGCUGAGAGCCAGGUUUAAGGUUGCUGUCUCUGCUCACCCGCCAUUGCUCUCGCCUAAUUUUAGCCAUGUUAUUCUAAUUGAAUUUGUCAAUGUUGGUCCAGUUACGUGUGUUAUAUACACACGUAGGAAAUGCAUGAACAUGAGAGAUGUUAUCUGGUGACGUAAGUUGUUUUAAAGAAUGGCCUAAGUUUUUGUGUUUCUAAUGAGUGCUUUUUCUCCUCUCACCCUAGAUGAUAUUGAAAGGUAUAGCAAGCGAUACAUGAAGGUCUAUAAAGAAGAAUGGGAACCAGAUUGGAGAAGACUUCCAAGAGAGAUGAUGCCAAGGAAAAAGUGCAAAAAAGCGGAUCCAAAAUCCAAAGCAGCCAAAGCCACAAGCAAGGGUACUACCCUCAUGAAUUCCACAGAUGUGUUGAAAAAGAUCGAGGUAAGUUUAUAGUUAUAAAUGUGAACUGGAAAAAUAAAAAAGGCUGUACUGCCUCUUCCCCCACCUUUCUG